rnacentral:rRNA from 1 species
CACGAUAGGUCUCGUUGGUGACCAGCGGAGGGAUCAUUACCGAGUUUACAACUCCCAAACCCCUGUGAACAUACCUUAAUGUUGCCUCGGCGGAUCAGCCCGCGCCCCGUAAAACGGGACGGCCCGCCAGAGGACCCAAACUCUAAUGUUUCUUAUUGUAACUUCUGAGUAAAACAAACAAAUAAAUCAAAACUUUCAACAACGGAUCUCUUGGUUCUGGCAUCGAUGAAGAACGCAGCAAAAUGCGAUAAGUAAUGUGAAUUGCAGAAUUCAGUGAAUCAUCGAAUCUUUGAACGCACAUUGCGCCCGCUGGUAUUCCGGCGGGCAUGCCUGUUCGAGCGUCAUUUCAACCCUCAAGCCCCCGGGUUUGGUGUUGGGGAUCGGCUCUGCCUUCUGGCGGUGCCGCCCCCGAAAUACAUUGGCGGUCUCGCUGCAGCCUCCAUUGCGUAGUAGCUAACACCUCGCAACUGGAACGCGGCGCGGCCAUGCCGUAAAACCCCAACUUCUGAAUGUUGACCUCGGAUCAGGUAGGAAUACCCGCUGAACUUAAGCAUAUCAAAAGCCCGGAGGAAAACCCCCC